rnacentral:lncRNA from 1 species
UAAGGCUUGUUUAGAAUGCAAGGCUUCCUCAAUUCUCCACCCUUCCCCUCUUGACAUCUUGCUCUUCUUCCCUUCAUCUAUUGUGUUAGUCAGGUGCAUGCUGGUCUUCCCUCUAUCAAACUGUAAGCUACUUGGAGACUUGGGAUGCCUCACUCAUCUCUAUUCCCAAACCUCAGGGUCUAUCAUUCUACCUUCUGUAUAGACAGGACUUUCAUAGUUUUGAACAAGUCAGAACCUGAAAGAAUUUGCUUCCAGAACAGGACAUUGACAGGAAAAUUAAGCAUGAUCAUGCCGAGUAAAAUAGGAAUAAGAAUUGGACCUACCUCAAGAUCUGUUGAGAAGAUUAUGAGAGAGCUGAUGGAUCUAAAAGAUUGGCGCUUGAUAGAAUUGGGAUCAUUUGUUUUGACUAGAACAAUCUCUUGCAGCUUGGAUGGAGAAACUUUACAGAGGUUUCAGCCAAACACUCAUGAAUUCUUUAAUGUGUGAAAUAAAUUUGUACAACGAAAGGCUAAAAAUUUGGGAGAUGCAGGAUGACUGAAGCCCGAUUCUGGGGGUUGUUACAGCACAGUUACAGGGCCUUCCUCACACCCAUGUCUUCAGAUACCCAAGGCCUUUAAUACCCAAGUCCUUCCAGGAUUCUGCACAUCUCAUUAGCUUCAUAUUCCCUCUAUUUGAAAAGUUCAUAUGGACCCAGCUCUGUCAUCAUCACAUGUUCUAUAUCCCCAAACCUUGUGACAUCUGCAAAGAAGUACAGAAGACCUCAAGAGAAGAUAAGCUAGAAUUUAUUUAUUUUUAUACCUUUUAUUCAGUUUUUAUUAAAG